CGAGCGGUAACAGAAAGUAGCUUGCUACUUUGCUGACGAGCGGCGGACGGGUGAGUAAUGCUUGGGAACAUGCCUUGAGGUGGGGGACAACAGUUGGAAACGACUGCUAAUACCGCAUAAUGUCUACGGACCAAAGGGGGCUUCGGCUCUCGCCUUUAGAUUGGCCCAAGUGGGGUUAGCUAGUUGGUGAGGUAAUGGCUCACCAAGGCAACGAUCCCUAGCUGGUUUGAGAGGAUGAUCAGCCACACUGGAACUGAGACACGGUCCAGACUCCUACGGGAGGCAGCAGUGGGGAAUAUUGCACAAUGGGCGAAAGCCUGAUGCAGCCAUGCCGCGUGUGUGAAGAAGGCCUUCGGGUUGUAAAGCACUUUCAGUCAGGAGGAAAGGGUGUGAGUUAAUACCUCAUAUCUGUGACGUUACUGACAGAAGAAGCACCGGCUAACUCCGUGCCAGCAGCCGCGGUAAUACGGAGGGUGCGAACGUUAAUCGGAAUUACUGGGCGUAAAGCGUACGCAGGCGGUUUGUUAAGCGAGAUGUGAAAGCCCCGGGCUCAACCUGGGAACUGCAUUUCGAACUGGCAAACUAGAGUGUGAUAGAGGGUGGUAGAAUUUCAGGUGUAGCGGUGAAAUGCGUAGAGAUCUGAAGGAAUACCGAUGGCGAAGGCAGCCACCUGGGUCAACACUGACGCUCAUGUACGAAAGCGUGGGGAGCAAACGGGAUUAGAUACCCCGGUAGUCCACGCCGUAAACGAUGUCUACUAGAAGCUCGGAACCUCGGUUCUGUUUUUCAAAGCUAACGCAUUAAGUAGACCGCCUGGGGAGUACGGCCGCAAGGUUAAAACUCAAAUGAAUUGACGGGGGCCCGCACAAGCGGUGGAGCAUGUGGUUUAAUUCGAUGCACGCGAGAACCUUACCUACACUUGACAUACAGAGAACUUUCUAGAGAUAGAUUGGUGCCUUCGGGAACUCUG
rnacentral:rRNA from 1 species